CUCUCGGGUGACGAGUGGCGGACGGGUGAGUAAUGUCUGGGAAACUGCCUGAUGGAGGGGGAUAACUACUGGAAACGGUAGCUAAUACCGCAUAACGUCGCAAGACCAAAGAGGGGGACCUUCGGGCCUCUUGCCAUCAGAUGUGCCCAGAUGGGAUUAGCUAGUAGGUGGGGUAACGGCUCACCUAGGCGACGAUCCCUAGCUGGUCUGAGAGGAUGACCAGCCACACUGGAACUGAGACACGGUCCAGACUCCUACGGGAGGCAGCAGUGGGGAAUAUUGCACAAUGGGCGCAAGCCUGAUGCAGCCAUGCCGCGUGUAUGAAGAAGGCCUUCGGGUUGUAAAGUACUUUCAGCGGGGAGGAAGGUGUUGUGGUUAAUAACCGCAGCAAUUGACGUUACCCGCAGAAGAAGCACCGGCUAACUCCGUGCCAGCAGCCGCGGUAAUACGGAGGGUGCAAGCGUUAAUCGGAAUUACUGGGCGUAAAGCGCACGCAGGCGGUCUGUCAAGUCGGAUGUGAAAUCCCCGGGCUCAACCUGGGAACUGCAUUCGAAACUGGCAGGCUAGAGUCUUGUAGAGGGGGGUAGAAUUCCAGGUGUAGCGGUGAAAUGCGUAGAGAUCUGGAGGAAUACCGGUGGCGAAGGCGGCCC
rnacentral:rRNA from 3 species